UAGCAAUACGAUGGAAAGUCUAGUGGCGAACGGGUGCUUAACACGUGGGCAACCUGCCAAGAAGUGGGGGAUAGCUCGCCGAAAGGCGAAUUAAUACCGCAUGUGAUUAGAGUGGACAUCCAUUCGAAAUUAAAGUCGGGGCAACCUGACGCUUCUUGUGGGGCCCGCGGCCUAUCAGCUAGUUGGUGAGGUAACGGCUCACCAAGGCUUUGACGGGUAGCUGGUCUGAGAGGACGACCAGCCACACUGGGACUGAGACACGGCCCAGACACCUACGGGUGGCAGCAGUCGAGAAUUUUUGACAAUGGGGGAAACCCUGAUCGAGCGACGCCGCGUGGAGGAUGAAGGUCUUCGGAUUGUAAACUCCUGUCAUUGGGGAACAAUGCGUGACGCUUAACUGCCGUUGCGUUGAUAGUACCCGAAGAGGAAGAGACGGCUAACUCUGUGCCAGCAGCCGCGGUAAUACAGAGGUCUCAAGCGUUGUUCGGAUUCAUCGGGCGUAAAGGGUGCGUAGGCGGCGCGGUAAGUCGGGUGUGAAAUCUCGGAGCUUAACUCCGAAACUGCAUUCGAUACUGCCGUGCUUGAGGACUGGAGAGGAGACUGGAAUUCACGGG
rnacentral:rRNA from 1 species